AGCAAUUACAUGGUGUUAAUAUUCCCAUUUUCCCCAGUGUAGAUCCAGUUAAACUUACAGCUUACGCAGAUGACAUAACAGUAGUUAUAAAAGACUCGGAGGAUGUUUCAAGAUUGAUCUCUUCUUUAGAUAGCUUUCGAAAAGCUUCAUCUGCAUGUAUCAACUGGGGAAAAUGUGCAUCCUUGCUGUUGGGAGAAUGGUCGGGUGGAGGACCUCCCCAGCUGCCACAGCAAUGUAGAUGGGCCCGAGAUGGCUUUAGAGUCCUGGGUCUUUACUUUGGGACUAAUAGUUAUAUAGAAAAGAACUGGGAAGGGCUAUUUGAUCGGGUGAUUCUUAGAAUCCAGAAGUGGCGAUGGAUUCUUCCACAACUCUCUUACAGAGGAAGAUGUUUGGUUAUUAACAACUUGGCAGCUUCAAUGCUAUGGCAUAGAUGUACUGUGUUGGAUCCUCCCAAAGAACUACUUAUUGGUGUUCAAAAAGCAUUUGUUAACUUUUUUUGGGAUGGUUGCCAUUGGCUUCCUCCAGGUGUCCUGUAUCUCCCUGUGGCAGAGGGAGGGCAGGGAUUAAUACAUCUGGAAUCUAAGAUUAUGGCAAUGAGAUUGCAUACAUUGCAAAAACUCCUGUACUGUUCAGAUCAAGUGCCUUGGGUUGUUAUUGGUCUGCAUAUACUCAAGAGUCUUGGAGGAAUUGGUCUCGACAAGCAGUUGUUCUUAAUGCAGAAAUCCUUUGUGGAGAAGACACUGUUUUUGCCUUUCAGUUUCUAUGGAUCAGUGAUUAAAUCAUGGGAUUGUUUUAAACUGGUAAGACAAGAGGAUGAGCAUUAUGGUAUUGAAGAACCUCUUUUUUUUAAUCCUCUUUUUGAAAUGCCAUCUAAUUUGUCCUCCUCUUUAAUCACCAAAUUUUUGAAUGCUGGUAUUACGAAAGUUAUGGACUUGAUUGAUUUAACUAAAGGCCAAUGGCGAACUGAACAUGAGCUUGCUAAUAAAGUUGGGCUAACUUCGGUUAGAAUUAUGGAGGGGUUAGUUAGGAAUCUUAAGGUCUCUUUUCCUCCGAUGUUGACCUCUUUUAUAAAUAAUGUUUUUCUUAAUGGUUUUAUUCCUCAGACAUUUCCUGAAUUUAAGGUGGUUAUUAAAGAUUGGGAAUCAGUUGAGGAUACAAGUUCAACAAACUUACUGAAAGGUUAUGGGGAUUUGGUAUUUUAUUGUAUUGAGAAAAAAAUGUUAUAUCAUAUUUGUGUGAAGUCUGUACAUCUUGGAAAAUUGAAACAAAGACUGGACACUAAAUGGAGGACUU
ensembl:lncRNA